UACGUAGGGGGCAAGCGUUGUCCGGAUUUAUUGGGGUUUAAAGGGUGCGUAGGCGGUCUUUUUAAGUCAGUGGUGAAAUCCUCCAGCUUAACUGGAGAACUGCCAUUGAUACUGGGAGACUUGAGUACAGACGAGGUAGGCGGAAUUGACAGUGUAGCGGUGAAAUGCAUAGAUAUUGUCAAGAACACCGAUUGCGAAGGCAGCUUACUAGACUGUAACUGACGCUGAGGCACGAAAGUGUGGGAGCGAUCCGG
rnacentral:rRNA from 1 species